UCCCUGAUGGCUCAGACGGUAAAGAAUCUGCCUGCAAAGCGGGACAUCCAGGUUCAAUCCCUGGGUUGGGAA
rfam:TPA: Bos taurus chromosome 2, whole genome shotgun sequence.